AACGAACGCUGGCGGCAGGCCUAACACAUGCAAGUCGAGCGAGGACUUCGGUCCUAGCGGCGGACGGGUGAGUAACGCGUGGGAACGUGCCCUUUGCUUCGGAAUAGCCCUGGGAAACUGGGAGUAAUACCGGAUGAGCCCUUUGGGGGAAAGAUUUAUCGGCGAAGGAUCGGCCCGCGUUGGAUUAGGUAGUUGGUGGGGUAAUGGCCUACCAAGCCGACGAUCCAUAGCUGGUUUGAGAAGAUGAUCAGCCACACUGGGACUGAGACACGGCCCAGACUCCUACGGGAGGCAGCAGUGGGGAAUCUUAGACAAUGGGGGAAACCCUGAUCUAGCCAUGCCGCGUGAGCGAUGAAGGCCUUAGGGUUGUAAAGCUCUUUCAGCUGGGAAGAUAAUGACGGUACCAGCAGAAGAAGCCCCGGCUAACUCCGUG
rnacentral:rRNA from 1 species